GGCCAAUUUAAUUUCCCCUCCCUCUUUUUAUAAUCGGUUUUUGCCCACCAUGUUCUGAACCAGAGUUACUGGAGCAAUAGCUUUCUGUCCUCCAGUGGGAAUAGAGCACAAGGCAGAAGAGGCAGAAUUCCUACACCGCCAGAUUUCCUCCAGUUGCCCGUAGUUCCUGAGGGUGAGGGAGGGCAUUGGCAGGACCCGGAAUCAGGUUCUCAGACACAUGCCAGACCUGCGUGUUUCCAAGCAAGCAUGGUAGCAUUUUGCUCCGACUGCUUCCCCUCUGGAAUUAAGGCAUUCCUGUGGCUGCAGCAGAGGGUGAGCCCACGUGGCAGGUCUGUGCGUGGAUUCUCAGUGAUGUGGAUGUUCCCUCACGCAUCUCCUCCUCUUUUACUUUGAAUUAACCACCUCGUAGUCCCAAGGCCACCAGCGACAUAAAGCAGGGCAGGUUUUGCACCCUGUGUGCCACCCCGUUGCUCCUCCGUAAGUCCAUAUAUUCCAACUGAGAGUUCCUUCCUGACAGUCCUGAAUAUAAGUCCCGCUAUCUGCUACGGACUGGCGAUCAACUGCUUUAAUCGCAUCCCUUCUCUUUGGUAAUCUUGAAAAUCCAAGGGAGCUUUGGGCCCUGGCAUGUGAGGAUAGAGGUCAUGGUAUCGAAGUGCAAAUUACGGUAUUUGGGAGAGGGAUGGCACUUACUGCUGCGUGGCCUUUUGAAGAACUGGCUAGUUGAGGACAGCCUGAGGGUCAGACGGACAAAGAGCUGUAGGCAGGAUGCACCCCAUGUGUGGACUCUCUUAUUUGGAAGGUUGCCAGCGUCGGCCUGGAGGAGCAGCUCGGGGAAUGCGAAUAGCAUAGAAUGCUGGAGAACGCUUGUAAGACUUGGGAGGGUCAGCAGCCACUUGAAUGCUAUAUGGAGCCUCUGGGUUCUCAGCUGAACCUUCUGGGAUAUUUUGGGCCUCUGGAGGGAUGUAUGGAGGGUAUGGAUCAGUGUACGGGAUCUCAGGGGGAGUGUAGGGGGCUUCCAGGGUGACAGGUGUCUCUGGGAGAUUGUAUGGAGGCUCCAGAGUGAGAGGUGUCUCUGGGGGGAUAUAUGGGGGUUCUAGGGUGGCAGGGGGUUCCGGAGGAAUAUAUGGGGGUUCUAGGGCCACAGGUGGCUCUGGAGGGGUGUAUGGAGGCUCCAAAGUGAGAGGCGGCUCUGGAGGGGUGUAUGGGGGUUCUAGGGCCACAGGUGUCUCUGGCGGGGUGUAUGGAGGUUCCAGAGUGGCAGGUGUCUCUGGAGGGGUGUAUGGGGGUUCUAGAGUGGCAGGUGCCUCUGGAGGGGUGUAUGGAGGUUCCAGAGUGGCAGGUGCCUCUGGAGGGGUGUAUGGGGGUUCUAGAGUGACAAGUGCCUCUGGUGGGGUGUAUGGAGGCUCCAGAGUGGCAGGUGUCUCUGGAGGCGUGUAUGGGGGUUCUAGAGUGGCAGGUGUCUCUGGUGGAGUGUAUGGUGGUUCUAGAGUGACUGAUGUCUCUGGGGGAGUGUAUGGGGGUUGUAAGGUGACUGAUGUCUCUGGAGGAGUGUAUGGAGGUUCUAUGGUGACUGAUGUCUCUGGAGGAGUGUAUGGAGGUUCUAGAGUGACUGAUGUCUCUGGAGGAGUGUAUGGGGGUUGUAGGGUGACUGACGUCUCUGGAGGAGUGUAUGGGAGUUCUAGAGUGAUUGAUGUCUCUGAAGGAGUGUAUGGGGGUUGUAGGGUGACCAGCGUCUCUGGAGGAGUGUAUGGGGGUUCUAGGGUGACCGGUGUCUCUGACAGGGUGUAUGGAGGCUC
rnacentral:lncRNA from 1 species